rnacentral:rRNA from 1 species
UGGGGAAUAUUGCACAAUGGGGGAAACCCUGAUGCAGCGACGCCGCGUGAGCGAAGAAGUAUUUCGGUAUGUAAAGCUCUAUCAGCAGGGAAGAAAAAAAAUGACGGUACCUGAGUAAGAAGCACCGGCUAAAUACGUGCC